CAUGUCUGCAAGUAACUAUACUAAACAACUCACUGAGUGGGGUAGAGGAUGAAAGAUUGUUGCUUACAAUGAAAACUAUUCUUUUUUCUUCUAGUGGCUGAUUUUGGUAACACACAGUCCUUCAAGUAUGCGUUGUUACAUCAUUUUCAGGCUGCUGGACAGCUGGUUCCUUGUAAUGAAAAAAGGAUUACGAAAAAAACUACUGGCCCGCUUUUCCAUGACACUUGGUGGACGGAUGUAGCAUGGGCCAAGGAAGAAACCAUUAAACUCUGGAGCAGAUCCAAAUCACAGGAACUUUCACACCCGGGAAUCUGAUGGCAUUUCCCAAAUGUACUCUCUUCUCAUCUACAUGUACAGUCAGACUUCUUGAGGCACUAUCAGGAUUUUGGUGGAGAUUUGUUUCUCAUUAAU